GGGGCGAGAGUGCUGUUUAUCGUCAUUUGCCUCGGAGCUUCGAGAGAGGGUGGUAUUUUGCUUUUCCGCCCCGCAUCCUCCGGAACUCCCUGCACCGGAGAGAGGACGGCGUCUCCAGGUUGCUGGCAACCGGUGAGAAUGGGGGUAGGGAAGGAACAUUUUCGCCGUAGCUGCUCCGUAAAGCGAUUGUCCAACUGAGAGGGGCGUCGGACGAGUGGACCAGGGCGGCGAGUUUGCCCGGCGCGUCUCGGAUGCUGCUGCGGCGGCCGCCGCGGCUCCCGCCAGGGCACUGCAAAGACGACCUGCCGCAUUCCCACUCGGGCUCUCCGCUGACUCAGCACCGCCCCUGCGCCAAGCCAGCCGGCCAGCUGGCAACACCGGACCAGACCAGCCGGAGCCGCUUUCUUCGCUGCGCAGAGGAGCCUGGGAGAAGCCAGAGGUGCUUGAGGAUGGAUUCUUGGCUCCUGGUGCAUUGCCACUCCCUGCCACCCUCCUCCUUGUCUUCUAUCUUCUCCUGGUGGCGUCAGGCCUUGCUUCGUGUCCCAACAGGAGCCUCUGGGGCUGGCACAGCCCUCACUGCCUACAACCUGGGCCUGGUGGUUCUCCUAGGGUGCCUCUGGGAGGUCAUGGUCACCCCGCUGCUGGCUAACUGCAGCUACUUCUGCCAGCCAGUGGACUACAGAUGGAGAAAGCAUGGAAUGAGGGUAUGGCAGGGAGCAGGAAGCAAGCCUGGAGAGGGUUAGGAGGAACAACUUCAUAACAAUCGGAGGUCAAGGAGGCAUCUUCCUGGAGACAGGAAGGUAGGCACUGUGGAAUCAGCGGUGCGUAGAACAGUGAGGAUUUGGGGCUGAACCCAGCCCAGGUGGGCCAAGCCGUGGCACCAGCCGGACUGCAGUCUGAUGGAACUUCCCCUUCCUGCCCAGCAGAUGGCGAGCGUGUGCUGCUGGUGCCUCUUUCCAAAGGACGUUGAAUUGCUUGACAGCCCUGCCCAGCAUCUAGAAGACCACCUGAAGCUUUCACACUUUGAGACCUUAGAUCCUGCGAGGGUUUGAAUUUCAAAAGCUUCAAUUAAAGCACACAGUGUUCUUUACUUUAUGAAUGAAGCCAGAGCAGCCCACCUUCCUGCAUCUCUACCACCAUGGCACCAUGCCCUGUGAUGGGUGGGCUGGAGUCAAAUAUGUAGCAGGCAGCCAGGGUCAGUUUGUGGCCACUGCUGCCCCCUCUUCCUACAGUCUCCUCACUGAGUGCCCCUUCCCUGUUGGGUUCAACACAUCUGUGCUCCUGUAAGCCCUCAGCCUCCUCGUUCUCUUCCUCAACUUCUACCACCAGACACAUCUGAGAAGCAAGCAAGAGAGGCUGAACUAGGAGCAGGACCCAGGGACUGAAACCAGCACAGCAUCCCCACAGAGAAUUGGGUGGAAGGCAGCAUGGCUUCCAGCUUACUGGUGCUGAGCAGAUUGCUCUGGGUCUCCAUUGUAUCCUCUGAAGGAAGGAGGAGGAUUGCCUUCUGUCCAGAUCUCAGGAUCAAACAAAUAGGUCCAAUUUCCUGUGCUCACUUCAGUUAGAGCACUUCUCAUGUGACUUUGUAGCUUUGUGUGCAUCUCCUUCCUCUACUAGACCUAAGCCCCUCACGGGAGGGACUCUCUUAUUCUUGAUGUUCCCCACACCUGGAAUUUCAAUAAACAUCUCAAUAAACGUGUGUGUUUGGAUCCUUGGAUCCCAUGACUGCCGUCAUAACCUUGGUGAAGAAGAGGGCUGGGAGUAGGAAAGAGGUCAAGGUUCGCUUGAUCUCUAACCCUAUAGUGGGAAAUUGUGACGGAGAAUAUUCAAGAGUGGGUGUGGGUCUGUUUGAUUUCAGGUGUAGCUGUGUAAAUAGUUAGCCCUGCAUAUAUUUUUGUCUACUCACAACUGCCUGCAUGUGUAUUCAUAGAGUUGUGUGAUUCUGUGUAUGUGCCUGGGGAGUGGGAGAGGGCCAUGUGCACAUGUCUGAAUACUUGUUUUCAAAUAUACAUGCAUGUUUCCAUUUGGGUUUCUCUCCAUUUGUGUUGUUUGCCUGCCUCUUCUGUAAGUCUCUGAAAGUGCCACAUUGGC
ensembl:lncRNA novel transcript, sense overlapping KCNA1